rnacentral:rRNA from 1 species
AACGAACGCUGGCGGCAUGCCUAACACAUGCCAGUCGAACGAGACCUUCGGGUCUAGUGGCGCACGGGUGCGUAACGCGUGGGAACCUGCCCUUAGGUUCGGAAUAACUCCCCGAAAGGGGUGCUAAUACCGGAUAAUGUCUUCGGACCAAAGAUUUAUCGCCUUUGGAUGGGCCCGCGUUGGAUUAGCUAGUUGGUAGGGUAAAAGCCUACCAAGGCGACGAUCCAUAGCUGGCCUGAGAGGAUGAUCAGCCACACUGGGACUGAGACACGGCCCAGACUCCUACGGGAGGCAGCAGUGGGGAAUAUUGGACAAUGGGCGAAAGCCUGAUCCAGCAAUGCCGCGUGAGUGAUGAAGGCCUUAGGGUUGUAAAGCUCUUUUACCCGGGAUGAUAAUGACAGUACCGGGAGAAUAAGCGCCGGCUAACUCCGUG